CUGGAAGCCCUCAGCUCAGCUGAGAAUCAGAGCAAGAAUCUUCAUUAUCAGAGUAGCAACAAAUUUUUUAAAAAAAGAAUGACAACAGGUUCAUGGGGCUCAAGUGAAGAAUGCCUGCCUCAGGGUGACAGAAGCAGAGGGUUCCCUUCAUGGCCAGGUUAAAGAUUGUUACCACACAAAUCUGUGAGAUCGGCUUUCUAUCAUACCCUGUCCACUAACACACUGGCAUCUAGUACUCAGUAAUGCAUGCUGAACACAUAACAAUAAAGCAAAGUCAGUCAGCUUUUUUUCUGUCCUUAUUUUUAUUUCUGGUAUUAAAAAAAAUAACAUAUACCUUAA